GACGGAGCAAUACCGCGUGCGGGACGAAGGCUUUUGGGUCGUAAACCGCUUUUGUUAGGGAAGAAUAACUGACGGUACCUAACGAAUCAGCAUCGGCUAACUCCGUGCCAGCAGCCGCGGUAAUACGGAGGAUGCAAGCGUUAUCCGGAUUUAUUGGGCGUAAAGCGUCCGCAGGUGGUUGAUCAAGUCUGCUGUCAAAGCGUGGGGCUUAACCCCAUACAGGCAGUGGAAACUGGUGAACUAGAGUACGGUAGGGGUAGCGGGAAUUCCCAGUGUAGCGGUGAAAUGCGUAGAUAUUGGGAAGAACACCAGCGGCGAAGGCGCGCUACUGGGCCGAAACUGACACUCAUGGACGAAAGCUAGGGGAGCG
rnacentral:rRNA from 1 species